CCUACGGGAGGCAGCAGUAAGGAAUAUUGGACAAUGCUCGCAAGAGUGAUCCAGCCAUGCCGCGUGCAGGAAGAAUGCCCUAUGGGUAGUAAACUGCUUUUGAACUAGAGAAAACCCCAGUACGUGUACUGGGCUGAUAGUAUAGUUAGAAUAAGCAUCGGCUAACUUCGUGCCAGCAGCCGCGGUAAGACGAGGGAUGCAAGCGUUAUCCGGAUUCAUUGGGUUUAAAGGGAGCGUAGGUGGACUGAUAAGUCAGUGGUGAAAUCUCCGAGCUUAACUCGGAAAUUGCCAUUGAUACUGUUGGUCUUGAGUACAGUUGCUGUGGGCGGAAUAUGACAUGUAGUGGUGAAAUACAUAGAGAUGUCAUAGAACACCGAUUGCGAAGGCAGCUCACAAAGCUGUAACUGACACUGAGGCUCGAAAGUGCGGGGAUCAAACAGGAUUAGAUACCCUGGUAGUCCGCACCGUAAACGAUGAUUACUCGCUGCUAGGGGGCAACCUUUAGUGGCUUAGCGAAAGCGAUAAGUAAUCCACCUGGGGAGUACGCCGGCAACGGUGAAACUCAAAGGAAUUGACGG
rnacentral:rRNA from 1 species